GAUGAACGCUAGCGGCAGGCCUAAUACAUGCAAGUCGUACGGGAUUGAGGACUUCGGUUCUCAUGAGAGUGGCGCACGGGUGCGUAACACGUAUGCAACCUACCUUUAACUGGGGGAUAGCCUUUCGAAAGAGAGAUUAAUACCGCAUAAAACAGCAGCACUGCAUGGUGUAACUGUUAAAGCUUCGGUGGUUAAAGAUGGGCAUGCGUUGCAUUAGCUAGUUGGUAAGGUAACGGCUUACCAAGGCUACGAUGCAUAGGGGAUCUGAGAGGAUGAUCCCCCACACUGGUACUGAGACACGGACCAGACUCCUACGGGAGGCAGCAGUAAGGAAUAUUGGUCAAUGGGCGCAAGCCUGAACCAGCCAUGCCGCGUGCAGGAAGACGGCCCUAUGGGUUGUAAACUGCUUUUAUCGGGGAAUAAACCUCAUUACGUGUAAUGAGUUGAAGGUACCCGAAGAAUAAGGAUCGGCUAACUCCGUGC
rnacentral:rRNA from 1 species